rnacentral:lncRNA from 1 species
CGUCCCCGGCUUUGCACGCAGCUAGGCACACGCGGAGAGGCAGUCCGAGACUCCCCAAGGCCGAAAAGGACAGAAGAGAGGCCGCCUAGCCGGCGGAGGUGGAGGUGAUAUACUUUGACGGGAAAAAAAAAAAAAAAAAAAAAAAGGUCAAACUUGAUCAGCCCGCCAGGCACCCUGCAGGCAGUGGGGGCGAGCAGCCCGAGGGGAAAAAACAGAAGUAGCCGCCGCCUCUUCCAAGUCUAAGGGGAGGCAAGGCCACGCGUGGUCCGAGGCUCUCGGGGCAGUUAUGAACGUCCCUAUACACAGGGCAGCGAGUGGGGUCUGAUGCGGGGAGUGUGCGCCGCAGACCUGCAAGCAGCCGCCCCCGCAGGCGCAGCACCCGCCCAGCACUGCGAGUGAUCUGCGACCGAGCAUACUGCGGCUUGGGAAGGCUUCGGUAUAGGAGCGGCCACCGAGCGAUCACCGGAGCUAGGUCUCCCAGGCCCCGCGGCUCAGGCUGCGGGCGUCCCCCGCCCCUCCCAAACACCGACCCCUCCUUCCCCAUCCCUGGCUCUCCGCACCUGAACUUCGG